rnacentral:rRNA from 1 species
UUCGGGGCAUACUGACGGUGAGAGGUACACGGUACUCCGUAGGAAGGGGUAAAAUCCUUUGAUCUAUGGAUGACCACCUGUGGCGAAGGCGGUCUACCAGAACACGUUCGACGGUGAGGGAUGAAAGCUGGGGGAGCAAACCGGAUUAGAUACCCGGGUAGUCCCAGCUGUAAACUAUGCAAACUCAGUGAUGCAUUGGCUUGUGGCCAGUGCAGUGCCGCAGAGAAGUCGUUAAGUUUGCCGCCUGGGAAGUACGUACGCAAGUAUGAAACUUAAAGGAAUUGGCGGGGGAGCACCACAAGGGGUGAAGCCUGCGGUUCAAUUGGAGUCAACGCCAGAAAUCUUACCCGGAGAGACAGCAGGAUGAAGGUCAAGCUGAAGACUUUACCAGACAAGCUGAGAAGUGGUGCAUGGCCGUCGCCAGCUCGUGCCGUGAGGUGUCCUGUUAAGUCAGGUAACGAGCGAGAUCCUUGCCUCUAGUUGCUACCAUUACUCUCAGGAGUAGUGGAGCGAA